CCUGGCCUUGCUCAUUGGAUUAAGGAUCUGGGGUUGCCAUGAGCUGUGGUGUAGGUUGCAGACAUGGCUCAGAUCCUGCAUUGCUGUGGCUUUGGCAUAGGCCAGUGGCUAAAGCUCCAAUUAGACCCUAGCCUGGGAACCUCCAUAUGCCACAGGUACAGCCCUAAAAAAAGCCAAAAAAAAAAAAAAAAAGUUGUUGUCAGUUUCUUCCAAAGCUGAAAAGGACUAUGAUGAAAAUCCCAACGGUAACAGUCCUCAAAAUUUUUCUUAAAUUUUUACCUUGUAUAACUGGAUACUAGGUGGAGCUUCCUCAACUAUUAAGUUCAUGAAAAAAGGAAUUUAAUUUCUUCUGAAUUUGAAGAAUAUUCUAAGUUGGCCUCCAAACACAUUCAGCCACAUGCACUGACCCAGUGUCAAAGAACGGUUUAAAAAAAAGCAUAGUGUGAAGUUCCCGUCAUGGUGAAGCGGAAAUGAAUCUGACCUGGAACCAUGAGGUUUCGGGUUCGAGUCCUGGCUUCACUCAGUGGGUUAAGGAUCCAGCAUCGUCAUGAGCUGUGGUGUAGGUGGCAAAUGUGGCUCGGAUCUGGCGUUGCUGUGGCUGUGGUGUAGGCCGGCAGCUGUAGCUCCGGGACCCCUAGCCUGGGAGCCUCCACAUGCCGUGGGUUCGGCCCUAAAAAACGAAAAACCAACAAACAAAAAGCAUAGUGCAACCUCAGUGCAAAUUAGGAAUGUCAAGAAAUGAACAAACCCACUGAGCCAUGAUGGGAACUCUUUAAUCCCUAAUUUAGCUAAAAGAUGUACCCUCUUAGCUCCUUCCAAAUAUACAAUACAGUAUUAUUAACUAUAGAUACUAUGCUGUACAUAACAUUCCCAGGACAUGCUUAUUUAAUUUUUUAAAGUUUUAUUGAAGUGUAAUUGAUUUACAAUAUUGUGCCAUUUUCUGCUGUACAGCAAAGUGACCCAGUCAUAUGUAUAUAUAUAUCCCUUCCUUAUAUUAUCUUUCAUCAUGUUUUAUUACAAGAGACUGGAUGUAGUUCCCUAUACUAUACAGUAGGAACUUGUUUUUCCAUCCUAUACAUACUAGUUUGUCUCUGUUAAUCCCAAACCCCCAGUCUGUCCCACUUUCCUUUCUCUCCCACUUGGCAGCCACAAGUCUGCUCUCCAUGUCUGUGAGUCUUUCGUUUCUGUAGAUAGGUUCAUUUGUACCAUAUUUUAUUUAUUUAUUUAUUUAUUAUUAUUGAUUGAUUGAUUGAUUGAUUGUCUUUUUGUUGUUGUUGCUAUCUCUUGGGCCACUUCCGCGGCAUAUGGAGGUUCCCAGGCUAGGGGUUGAAUCGGAGCUGUAGCCACCGGCCUACGCCAGAGCCACAGCAACGCGGGAUCCGAGCCCCGUCUGCAACCUACACCACAGCUCACGGCAACGCCAGAUCCUUAACCCACUGAGCAAGGGCAGGGACCGAACCCGCAACCUCAUGGUUCCUAGUCGGAUUCGUUAACCACUGCGCCACGACGGGAACUCCUGUACCAUAUUUUAGAUUCCACAAAUAAGUGAUAUCAUAUGGUAUUUGUCUUUCUCUUUAUGACUUAUUUCACUCAGUAUGAAAAUCUCUAGAUGUAUCUCUGUUACUGCAAAUGGCAAAGAAUUCAAAAUAAAUAAAAAUAUACUUGAUUAACAAUAUUGUGUUAGUUUCAGGGGUAUAGCAAAGCUAUUUGGUUAUAAAUGUGUAUUUAUACAUCUAUAUUCUUUUUUUCUUUUUUCCUUUUUUUUUUUUUUGUCUUUUUAGGGCCACACCCACGGCAUAUGGAAGUUCCCAGCUAGGGGCCUAAUCGGAACUGUAGCCACCAUCCUACACCAGAGCCACAGCAAUGCCAGAUCCAAGCUGAGUCUGUGACCUACACCACAGCUUGCUGCAACGCUGGAUCCUUAACCCACUGAGCAAGGCCAGGGAUCAAACCCACAACCUCAUGGUUCCUAGUCAGAUUCAUUAACCACUGAGCCAUGACAGGAGCUCCCUGUUGUUGUUCUUUUUAAAAAAAAAAAUUAAUUUAUUUUUUUGGCUAUGCCCACAGCAUGCAGAAGUUCCUAGACCAGAGAUCGAACCCGCACCAUAGCAGUGACCCAAGCCACUGCUGUGAUAAUACUGGGUCCUUAACCGGAUGCACCACAGGGGAACUCCUGUUGUUCUUUUUAAAUUUCAUACACACACGCACGCACACACACACACACAGGAUCAUAUGGUAUUUUUCUUUGUCUAACUUAUUUCACUUAGCAAAAUGCCCUUAAGUUUCAUCCAUGUUGCUACAAAAAUUUUUAAUUUCGAGAGUUUAAUUUAUUCAUUUUUUCUUUCUUGCUGAUACUAUUAAUCUGUUCUCUGUAUAUGAGUUUGUCUUGGUCAUUGGUUUUGCUAUCUUGUUUUAUUUUUGGUUUCCACACAGGCUUUGUCUGCUUACAGAGCAAUGAGGCUAUAGAUAUUAGUGAAAAGAGUCAUAUGUGUGUAUAUACUUGAAUAGUUAUUAUAAAUAAAUAAAUAGAUGUUAUUACGACAAAUGAGAGGUAGAAGGAGCAGAAAAAUCCCGUUCUGAGGGUGCAUAUUUGGGGGAUGUGUCCUAGUUCAGGAGUCAGGAGGCUCAGAGAAAGCCUGAAGAAGCUGAGAUCUGAAGGGAGAAGUUAACGAGGUAAAGGGAAGAACAGGGGCAAAAGCUCUGUGGUGAGAGGGAUCCUGCUGAGUGUGGGGGAUGAACAUAGGUUCACUGUGGCUUGAGCAGAGAGAACAGGGACAGAAUGAGGUUCAUGGGGCAGGGAGGAGGCUGACUGUGCCUGGUCACACAGGCCAUAUGAAAGAGUCCUGUUUCUUUCCUGUCCCACAAAGAUCCCUGUUCUUUAUAACCUGACGUGCAAUGUUUUGAAAACCAUUACUUUUCAUAUCUUUUUGUACUGUUAUUGUUUUCUCUUCUUUAUUCUCAGUGGUUUCUUAGUACUCUAUGGUGUAUGGAUGUAUCUUGAUUGAUAUAGCCAGUCCUCUGCAAUGAUCAUUGAGAUAUUUUACAAUUUUUUGCUCUUUCUAACAGUGUUAAAAACUAAUAUCUUUCCACAUGCAACUUCUCUUGUAUUGCAUGAUAGCCAUACAGACAUAGCUAGUCAGUAGAAGCAGCCAAUGAAAGAAAAGUCAAAUGCAGACACCCUUUCAGUAAAUUAAGCAAGGCUUCUCUUUUAUGGUCACUUUUCUUUCUAGAACCUGCUCUGUCUCACUCUAGGCUGGCCUUCUUUGGGAACUGACAGUUUAUUAGGCAGAUUAUAUCUAUAAAUCCCAAUUGUGAAUUGUUUCAAGUUCUCACUUUGUAUUUAGGACUGCUAGGCCAUUGCGAUUAAGAGAUGAGAUGCAGUAACUGUUUUAAAUGUCCCUGAACCUUCUAAGACGGUGAAGAGCCCAUUCUACUCAAGGCACAUAGUAGUUUUCUAAAACCUCACUUCCUCAUUGCUGGCUGUGGGCUGUAUUGAUGAAUGUCAGUAGUUGGCUGCGAGGGGAGGAAGGCCAAGCACAGUGGCUCUAUUUGGUAAAUCUAAAGGUUUUACAUACCUUGGGGAUCCAGAAGGAAACCAGCAGUCAGAAAACAAGUCGACCAGCAGCAUUCUUUGGGAUGGAGAGAAGUGCGAGCUUCAGAACCUAAAACAUCUCACCAUAGAUGUGUGUGCUGGUGGGGGAUGGGGGUGGGUGGGGAGGGAGAGAAACGCAGAUGGGAACAUUGGGGUACCAGGGUCACAUUCAGUCUUCAGGAAGCUCAGCCACCCUCCCAGGCCCAGACUCCUGUGUGUAUGUAUCAACCUGCUAUGUGUUGGGCUAGUGACUUGCAUCAAUUCUGAGGCUAAACACUGUGGUGUUUUUUAUUGUGGGGCACCAUUUAUGCAUCCUCAGCAUGACUGGACAUCCCCUUGCCUGACCUCAGGUAAACACAGGCUGGUCCACAGCAUUCCUGUACUCCCAGCUGUGGACCUGGCACAAGACUCAGUGCCUCAGAAUCUCUGGGGUCACCCAGCAGCUCCUUAGACCAGAUGAAUGGCCUGGCUACAGGCAUUCAGGGUCAAAACCUAGAAUGGAUCUUUCAUCAUCCAUUCUUCGAAAAUGCCUCUCACAACCUUUGCACAUUUCUAUUUGCCCAUUUCCACAGCCACUGCUGCACUUGUCCCAAGACCUCUUCAUUACUAAGCCUCAGAAUUGGCCUUGGGCAUGCCCUGUGUGGUUCUCCUUACAGAUGUAUGUUAAGUUUAGACCUUUGGGCUGUUGGGUACCCAGAGCCCUACCUUGAAAACAUAAAUUUACCACUGACCACUAGGUGGAACCCUGACCACUAGGUGGCACCCUAUCACAAGUUAUUCUACCUUUAGGAUCAGCAUUUUAAGACUGCUAGCUUUGAGACCUCCCUUUGGAAUAUCAGGUUUAAGCAUUGUUGGGUCCAGUUCCAAUAUAAAUUUUAAAAGCUUGUCUGAGCAAUAUACAGGUAACCACAUAGUGAGAUUGGUUGUGGUCUCUCUGCUCCUCCAUUCAGUCUGUAUUUGUUGAAAGGAUGUAUUUACUGAAUGGAUUAGCCACUGCUUUUCUGUAUUAAUGUCUUCUCUGUGACUCUUUUCUCUCUGGACUGCCGAAACGCCAGUGCAUGCCAGUCUCAUGUCUCCUCCUCAGCCCAGCUGAAUUAGUCGCAGAGCUUUGGCAAUUGCGAGUACGCCUUCUACCUUUGCUCUUUCAUUUAUCAGUAAAACAGAAGGAAGAAACAAUAGGACCACAAAUCCUUUUCCUUAGGCAGUCCAAGGAGGCCAUGGCCACACUAUUUAUAGCAAGUAAUUCAAAUGAAAUAAAUCCCAAGAUAUUUUCUCCUAUGGAUAACUUUAAUUGUUGUGGCUCCUUGCUACUAUCUACUUCCUUUGGUCAUUGUAGUGAUAUUUCAUAAACUCUGCCUGCCACUGGACCUUGCUUAAUUGUAGCAGAUGCUGGGAAAUCAGACCCAACCUUCUCCAUCUUGUCUCAGUGCACUUGCAAACAAACAUUUAUUUGAUUUCCUGUCAUGAAAUUUUGCUUUAUUACCUGUCCCUUCCAUUAAAUUUUUUUUAAAAAUUGAACUAUAGAAGUUCCUGCUGUGGCGCAACGGAAUCAGCACUGUCUCUUCAGAACUAAGACACAGGUUCGAUCUCACCCACACAAUAGGUUAGAGGAUCUGGCAUUGCCAAAGCUGUGGCAUAGGUUGCAAUUGCAGCUCGGAUUUCAUCCCUGGCCAGGGAGCUCCAUAUGCUGUG
rnacentral:lncRNA from 1 species